rnacentral:rRNA from 1 species
AUUGAACGCUGGCGGCAGGCCUAACACAUGCAAGUCGAGCGGAUGAAGGGAGCUUGCUCCUGGAUUCAGCGGCGGACGGGUGAGUAAUGCCUAUGAAUCUGCCUGGUAGUGGGGGAUAACGUCCGGAAACGGGCGCUAAUACCGCAUACGUCCUGAGGGAGAAAGUGGGGGACCUUCGGACCUCACGCUAUCAGAUGAGCCUAGGUCGGAUUAGCUAGUUGGUGGGGUAAAGGCCUACCAAGGCGGCGAUCCGUAACUGGUCUGAGAGGAUGAUCAGUCACACUGGAACUGAGACACGGUCCAGACUCCUACGGGAGGCAGCAGUGGGGAAUAUUGGACAAUGGGCGAAAGCCUGAUCCAGCCAUGCCGCGUGUGUGAAGAAGGUCUUCGGAUUGUAAAGCACGUUAAGUUGGGAGGAAGGGCAGUAAGUUAAUACCUUGCUGUUUUGACGUUACCAACAGAAUAAGCACCGGCUAACUUCGUG